rnacentral:rRNA from 1 species
CGCUGGCGGCGUGCCUAAUACAUGCAAGUCGAGCGAGCGGAACCAACAGAUUUACUUCGGUAAUGACGUUGGGAAAGCGAGCGGCGGAUGGGUGAGUAACACGUGGGGAACCUGCCCCUAAGUCUGGGAUACCAUUUGGAAACAGGUGCUAAUACCGGAUAAUAAAGCAGAUCGCAUGAUCAGCUUUUGAAAGGCGGCGUAAGCUGUCGCUAAGGGAUGGCCCCGCGGUGCAUUAGCUAGUUGGUAAGGUAACGGCUUACCAAGGCGACGAUGCAUAGCCGAGUUGAGAGACUGAUCGGCCACAUUGGGACUGAGACACGGCCCAAACUCCUACGGGAGGCAGCAGUAGGGAAUCUUCCACAAUGGACGCAAGUCUGAUGGAGCAACGCCGCGUGAGUGAAGAAGGUUUUCGGAUCGUAAAGCUCUGUUGUUGGUGAAGAAGGAUAGAGGUAGUAACUGGCCUUUAUUUGACGGUAAUCAACCAGAAAGUCACGGCUAACUACGUG